rnacentral:rRNA from 1 species
GAGUUUGAUCUUGGCUCAGGAUGAACGCUAGCGACAGGCUUAACACAUGCAAGUCGAACGAAGCAUCCCUUCCGAUGAAUGGACCAGCUUGCUGGGAAAGGAAUCAAUUGGGAUGACUGAGUGGCGGACGGGUGAGUAACGCGUGGGUAACCUGCCCCAUAGAGGGGGACAACAGCUGGAAACGGCUGCUAAUACCGCAUAGCAGGAAGGAGACGCAUGUCUUUUUCUUCAAAGAUUUAUCGCUAUGGGAUGGACCCGCGUCUGAUUAGCUAGUUGGUAAGGUAACGGCCUACCAAGGCGACGAUCAGUAGCCGGCUUGAGAGAGUGGACGGCCACAUUGGGACUGAGACACGGCCCAGACUCCUACGGGGAGGCAGCAGUGGGGAAUAUUGCACAAUGGGGGGAACCCUGAUGCAGCGACGCCGCGUGGGUGAAGGAGCGUUUCGGCGCGUAAAGCCCUAUCGGCAGGGAAGAAGAUGACGGUACCUGACCAAGAAGCCCCGGCUAACUACGUGCCACG